rnacentral:piRNA from 1 species
UAAACAUUGGCAACCCUAUGUGAGUCCC